CAGAGCGUGAGACUCUGCCCGGGCGCGCCCCGCGUGCAGAGUUGACCCUCCACCCGUGUGAACUUAUGUCUUGUUGCUUUGGUGGGCCCGGCUCUUGGGCCGGCCUGCGUCUCGCGGGAUCGCGUCCGCCAAAGCCCCCCCUAACUCAUGUUGUCGUGUCGUCUGAGGAAACGAAAGAGAAAUUGAAUCGUUA
rnacentral:misc_RNA from 1 species